GAUCAACAAGGACGGGGCCCCCCUCCCCCGCCGCCACUGUCAACCGGGACGGACUGUCCUCAGUGCGUCCCGACGCGUGGCGGCGCCGGGUCCGGGGACGGCCCACGACAGGGCGCCAGGGGUCUGCGGCGA
rnacentral:rRNA from 1 species